rnacentral:rRNA from 1 species
AGGACGAACGCUGGCGGCGUGCUUAACACAUGCAAGUCGAGCGGUAAGGCCCUUCGGGGUACACGAGCGGCGAACGGGUGAGUAACACGUGGGUGAUCUACCCUGCACUUCGGGAUAAGCCUGGGAAACUGGGUCUAAUACCGGAUAUGACCUCUCACCGCAUGGUGGGUGGUGGAAAGAUUUAUCGGGAUUGGAUGAGCCCGCGUUGGAUUAGCUAGUUGGUGGGGUAAUGGCCUACCAAGGCGACGAUCCAUAGCUGGUCUGAGAGGAUGAUCAGCCACACUGGGACUGAGACACGGCCCAGACUCCUACGGGAGGCAGCAGUGGGGAAUAUUGGACAAUGGGCGCAAGCCUGAUCCAGCCAUGCCGCGUGAGUGAUGAAGGCCUUAGGGUUGUAAAGCUCUUUCAGUGGGGAAGAUAAUGACGGUACCCACAGAAGAAGCCCGGCUAACUCGUGCCAGCAGCCGC